AUGGGUGCUCUUGUGGGCCGUCAACCUGGUGCUAGCCAUCUAACAGAAAGGAUAUGGAAUUACUUUAAAAUAAAUUUUUGAAUGAACUAGGAUAGAAGCAAAAUAAAGGAUUAAAACAGAAGCAUAGCAAUAAGGAUGAGGUAAAUCAAGGUUAAGAGUAUUUAAGCAGAUUUAAAUUAAGAAGUAGGUAGGAAUGGCUACUAGAUAAUUAUAAUCCUUAAUUGCGACCAUUUUCUAACUAGGCUAACGUCCUACAGUCAACACAGCUCUGAUGCCACUUCUGUCACACCCGAUUUUACGGACAAAAUUGAGUGCAUUCCAUACAUGUGCGCCAGGACCAAGUUACACACAUGUACAACAUAAGUGAAUAACAAAGAUAGUGCUAAAUCAAAUAAAGAGAGUAUUAAACAUUUAUUACAUGACCAAAAGUCUCAAAUAAGCACAAACUCUCAAAUAAAUAUUUAUUACAUGACCGAAAGUCCGAAAGUGACCGCCUCCCUACUCGUCUCCGUACCCAAUUCCUUUGGCUCCCCGACUCCCUCGCCCUCACCCCUGCCUCGCCAUUGCCGCCUCUGGAAGAUGGUCCAGUCCCCUCCGUUUUGGUUGUUCCUUGAAGCGAUGACCUCCUGUGCCCGCUGUCCUACCCUUCCCCCUCCCGGCCACCCUCCCCACUUGGCGUACCCACCGGCAGACACCCUCCCCACCGUUAGCCUCCCUCCCCACUGGUAGCAUCCCUCCCGGCCACCCUCCCCACCUCCGACGCCCCCACCGACGCACGCCAUCGCCACCAGAGGUGCCCCUCUCCGGCCAGCUCUUCUCCAUUGGCAAGCGCUCAAGGUGAAUCUAGUUUUGUGAUAAUGCAGUGCUUUGUGUCUGCAUCUUUGAUGUGUCUGUUUGUCUGUCUGUCUGUCUUUGUUUGGAUCUA
rnacentral:lncRNA from 1 species